AUUGAACGCUGGCGGCAGGCCUAACACAUGCAAGUCGAACGAGUGGCGGACGGGUGAGUAAUGUCUGGGAAACUGCCUAAUGGAGGGGGAUAACUACUGGAAACGGUAGAUAAUACCGCAUACCAUCAGAUAUGCCCAGAUGGGAUUCGCUAGUUGGUGGGGUAAAGGCUCACCAAGGCGACGAUCCCUAGCUGGUCUGAGAGGAGAACCAGCCACACUUGAGCUGAUGCACGGUCCAGACUCCUACGGGAGGUAGCAGUGGGGAAUAUUGCACAAUGGGCGCAAGUCUGAUGCAGCCAUGCCGCGUGUAUGAAGAAGGCCUUCGGGUUGUAAAGUACUUUCAGCGGGGAGGCGUUACCCGCAGAAGAAGCACCGGCUAACUCCGUGCCAGCAGCCGCGGUAAUAC
rnacentral:rRNA from 1 species